UAUAGCUCAGUGGUUGAGUACCUGCUUUGCAUUCAGAAGGUCCCAGCUUCAAUCCCCACUGGCAUCUCAA